rnacentral:rRNA from 1 species
GACGAACGCUGGCGGCGUGCUUAACACAUGCAAGUCGAGCGGUAAGGCCCUUUCGGGGGUACACGAGCGGCGAACGGGUGAGUAACACGUGGGUGACCUGCCCUCAGCUCUGGGAUAAGCCUGGGAAACUGGGUCUAAUACUGGAUAUGACUCCACGGUGCAUGUCGUGGGGUGGAAAGCCUUGUGCGGCUGAGGAUGGGCCCGCGGCCUAUCAGCUUGUUGGUGGGGNGAUGGCCUACCAAGGCGACGACGGGUAGCCGGCCUGAGAGGGCGACCGGCCACACUGGGACUGAGACACGGCCCAGACUCCUACGGGAGGCAGCAGUGGGGAAUCUUGCGCAAUGGGCGAAAGCCUGACGCAGCGACGCCG